rnacentral:rRNA from 1 species
GAGCAAUACCGCGUGAGGGAGGAAGGCCUUUGGGUUGUAAACCUCUUUUCUGGGGGAAGAAGCAAGUGACGGUACCCCAGGAAUCAGCAUCGGCUAACUCCGUGCCAGCAGCCGCGGUAAUACGGAGGAUGCAAGCGUUAUCCGGAAUUAUUGGGCGUAAAGCGUCCGCAGGUGGUCCAUCAAGUCUGCUGUCAAAGACCGGAGCUCAACUCCGGGCAGGCAGUGGAAACUGGUGAACUAGAGUACGGUAGGGGUAGAGGGAAUUCCCAGUGUAGCGGUGAAAUGCGUAGAGAUUGGGAAGAACACCAGUGGCGAAGGCGCUCUACUGGGCCGUAACUGACGCUCAGGGACGAAAGCUAGGGGAGCGAAAGGGAUUAGAUACCCCUGUAGUCCUAGCUGUAAACGAUGGAUACUAGGCGUUGCUUGUAUCGACCCGAGCAGUGCCGUAGCUAACGCGUUAAGUAUCCCGCCUGGGAGUACGCACGCAAGUGUGAAACUCAAAGGAAUUGACGGGGGCCCGCACAAGCGGUGGAGUAUGUGGUUUAAUUCGAUGCAACGCGAAGAACCUUACCAGGGCUUGACAUGUCCGGAAUCUCGGGGAAACUCGAGAGUGCCUCCGGGAGCCGGAACACAGGUGGUGCAUGGCUGUCGUCAGCUCGUGUCGUGAGAUGUUGGGUUAAGUCCCGCAACGAGCGCAACCCUCGUCCUUAGUUGCCAGCCUUAAGUGGGGCACUCUAGGGAGACUGCCGGUGACAAACCGGAGGAAGGUGGGGAUGACGUCAAGUCAGCAUGCCCCUUACGUCCUGGGCGACACACGUACUACAAUGGUCGGGACAAAGGGCAGCGAACUCGCGAGAGUAAGCGAAUCUCAGCAAACCCGGCCUCAGUUCAGAUUGCAGGCUGCAACUCGCCUGCAUGAAGGAGGAAUCGCUAGUAAUCGCAGGUCAGCAUACUGCGGUGAAUUCGUUCCCGGGCCUUGUACACACCGCCCGUCACACCAUGGAAGCUGGCCACGCCCGAAGUCGUUACCCUAACCCUUAGGGGAGGGGGACGCCGAAGGCAGGGCUAGUGACUGGGGUGAAGUCGUAACAAGGUAGCCGUACCGGAAGGUGU